CCUCCCCUGGCUGUGAUUCACACAGCCUGCAUGAAAAAACAAAAUGGUUUAAUUUUUAAGCAGAUGUAACAAACAUUUUUAUCUGCUGCUCUUUAAAUUGAACUUUCAUUACAUACAGGAGGCUUCUGCAGUAUCUAGCAAGCUAUUAACAGAGCAGGAGAAAAGAAAUCCUAAAUAAAACAGAAUCUGUAAAGUGUAAACAUUAGAUGACUCUUUACAGGAAGUAGUUAGGCAGGCUGAACAAGUCACAUGCAGGGAGGUGUGGCUAGGGCUGUAUAAACAAAGUGAUCUACUCGUAAAUGGCAGAGAAUUGAGCAGUGACCCUGCAGGGACAUGAUAAAUUCACCAUAACUACUUGAUUAAGCUAAAGGUGUUUUAGUGACUAGUGUCCCUAUAAGUAAAGUUUCUGAAUAUGUGACACAUUGUCCACGAAUGCUGUAAUUCUCUCACAUAUAAUCCCUCGAAGCAUUAAGAACCCUUAUGUAUGAUAUUGUCCCAUAUCUAGUCAUCGUCACCCUGUGUAUUGCCCAUAUAAAUACUGUUGUAUUGCAUGUUUUUUCCAGUAUUGCCCCCUUUGAACAUACAUACAGACACACAAUCACGCUUCCCCUUUCUGCCUUGUUUUCACAACUCCUACAAUCACACACUGAAUUCAGAAAGACCGUGUCCAUGGCUCUGCUGGAGAUCCUACUGUCAGUUUAUCUAUAUCUAUAUCUGUUCAGACACUAAACACAGAAAGUUGGUCUUUCUAACCAUAAAACCAUCUAUUUGAGUUCAGUGCCAGGAAAGAUGCGGACUAUCCUACUUUUAGUGCUGUUUGUGCAGGUAGGACCUCCAGCAGAGACCCAGGAGCCAAUCUACCUGCAUUCAACUCACACAGAUUCCUGGACUGUAAUUGCAUCACCUGCUGCCAAGCCUUAGAAAGGCCACAUAUUCCCAAUGAAAGUGGUUUGUAAAUGUAUUGUGUAUUUAUGAUUCUGGGAUAGAACAGGGUACAUUUUCCUAUGAAGGUCUUAAAUGGAGUGCAAAUCAGACAAACCAGAAACAUGCCACGUUUAAGGGAAGUCAAGGAUUAAUAAGUCCUUAGAG